rnacentral:rRNA from 1 species
ACAACGGGGGUGCGAGGGCUGUCGCUGACCUUUCAAAAGGUCGUGCACGCCCGAGCGCUCUCACACAUCCAUCUCACCCCUUUGUGCAUCACCGCGUGGGUCCCCCUUUGCAGGAGGGCUCACGUUUUCACACAAAACUUGAUACAGUGUAGAAUGUUAUUUUUGCGGUCACACGCAAUCAAUACAACUUUCAACAACGGAUCUCUUGGCUCUCGCAUCGAUGAAGAACGCAGCGAAAUGCGAUACGUAAUGUGAAUUGCAGAAUUCAGUGAAUCAUCGAAUCUUUGAACGCACCUUGCGCCCCUUGGCAUUCCGAGGGGCACACCCGUUUGAGUGACGUGAAAUCAUCAAAAACCCUUUUCUGUUUACCGAAAAGGAUUUUUGGACUUGGAGGUUUAAUGCUUGCCUUUCACUUUUGAAAGCGAGCUCCUCUCAAAUGAAUUAGUGGGGUCCGCUUCGCUGGUCCUUGACGUGAUAAGAUGUUUCUACGUUUUGNAUUUAGCACUGUCCCUUUGGAUUCCUGCUCCUAACUGUCCAACGGACAAACGAUGGUGCUCCGGUCGCCGCCGUCUACAUUGGCGGGGGAGGGCUGGACCCACGAAAGAAAACCUUGA